rnacentral:lncRNA from 1 species
UAUUCGUAAUUGCAAUGUAUUUAUUGUUACAGCGGAUAUUUGAAUCGAUAAGUUAAAAAGAUGAAAAUGCCCAUAGUUGGCUUAAUGUAAUUAUACGAGGACAUAUUUUAUCCUCAUAUAUUUUAUCGUAUUUCUUGAUGUAUUUGGAUAGAGCUUGACCUCACGAGCGUGUAGGCAAACCGUUGGUGAAACGGAAUUAUAACGAAAGAGUUAUUAACGUUUGAAGUUAGAGAUAUUUUUGUAAAUUUAAUCUUCACUUUAGAAGGCUCUAUAAAAUCUGGAGCAAUGGGUUGUGACAUAUGUGUGGCUGGGAUAAAGGGAAAUGAGGAGAAAUGAGAGAGAUGAAAAUGAGAGAAGAGGGUGGGAAACUGCCCAAUCAGAAGUGGAGGGAAAUGAGGGGAAAAGAGAGAGGGAGAAAAAGGGGAAACCGGCUAACCCGUAUACCUAUCGGACCCGGUUUCAAUCCGGUAUAUUUCCCCGUAAAAUUCGUUCUGACAAAUUGACAUGAAUUACCAAUACCAAUCAUCAUUUCAUUGCUCCUUCUUCAAUUUUCCACCUAAAAUUGACCUGAUUUGAUCCU